UAAAAUAUUUGGUGUAUUGCAGACAUUUUCAUGAAUUCAUAUUUGGUGCAUUGCAAAAUUUCACGAAUGCAAAAUGAUUUGAUGCAUUGCAAAUGCAUUUCAUGUGGUUUCAUAUUCUCUUCAAUGCUUUUCAACCUUAAGCAGACGGGAGCGGUCCAGGGAGAGGGACCACAGCCGCUCGAGUGAGAAGCGUCACCGCAAGUCUCGCAGCCGAGAUCGACGCGAGGACUAUUACAGGGAGCGCAGCCGCGAGAGAGACCGCCAUCGUGACCGUGACCGCGAGAGAGACCGAGAACGUGAGCGGGAGUAUCGCCGUUAGUUGGAGAGGAAGGUGUGUAUCCUGUUUGUCGCUGUCUUUCUCCCCUUUUCUUUCAGGAUUCAGAUGUACAUGCUAUUGCAGAGGUCGGGAUCACAGGUAUGUGAUCAGAAAAGCGUGAUCUGAGUACUCUGAUAUUUAAAGCAUGUGUACCUGGUCUUGAAGCCGUUCAAUGUGCAAUAUCAGCUCCAGCAACCACAAACUGUUCCGCAAUUGUGUUGAUGAUAUCCAGUUUGUCUUUGAAAGGAUUUUAUGUGUAUUGCAACCUUUUAUUUAAAAAAAAUCGAUUUGCAUUUUAAAAUGCAAGUUACUGCACUUAUUUGUCCGUUUAACUGAGAUUUGCUGCUAGUUUUUAGACCAUGCCAAUUUUGUCUUCAUGUGAGGUCAAACAAAUUUUCCCUUAUCAUAUUUUGUCUAAUUGACAAUGUUUGCCAAAAAUUGAAAUUCAGGAUGCAUUUCAUGUCUUUAGAGUUGUGGUUAUGAAAUAUAAACUCAACCUGUGACCAUAAAUGUGUAGAAAUUGGUUGUAGUUGGAUGAGAGAAAAUGAAUGUUUUUUUAUCCCGUAUUGAAAUGAGCAAAAUCAUGUUUCUCAGAUUGUGCAUUGACAUUCCUGUAGACAGAUUUGUUGUUGACAUAAUAAUGGUUGUUCUAGUGUUUAGUUCCUCAUUGAUUUAUGAAAAGCAAAUGAAUGGAGUCAAAUUGAUCUGCUUUGGCAUUUAAAAACAUGAAGCUGUAGUCUUCUGUCAGGUUGAGUUGUCAUGGUGUAGGCAAAUUCAGAUUGUUUUGUGUGUUACGGUUUAGUCUUGAGCACAUCUGUACAGUAUAAUUUAAGAAAACACAUUCUGAAUGUCCUCUGUCAGAGCAAGUUAAAUUUAUUUUUACUGUGAAGGGUCAUUUUGUACAUCCUAGUAUUUCAGAGUCAUUUGCAGGUUUUUAGUAGCUACU